GGCGGCCGAAAGUCCCUCCAGAGCCGAAAGUCAGGCAGGUUCGGCGGCACCUUCGGCGGCCGAAAGUGCCAGACAGAGACGAAAGUCUCUUUUCGGGGGCACCUUCGGCAGCCGAAUGCUGCCUCCACAAAAGGGGUUCGGCGGCCGAAACUCCCUUCGGCUGCCGAACCUGGUUUCUGCCAAACGGCAGAAACUUGGUUCAAAUGAACCUCCUGCCUCCCAAAACCAUAAAUCACGCAUAUAUCUCAACCAAAACAUGCAUACAAGUUCCUAGGGGCCUCAAACAUACAUAUACCCCAUCUACAACACUUCAAUCGCACACAAACAAGCUACAUUGUUCAAAACAUCAAUAUAUACCCAUAACCUCAACAUAUAACCUAACAUGCAUUUCUACCCAUAGAUCUUGCAUAAAACUUAUUUAAAACUCAUAAGGAGCUUAAGAUCGGCUCUUACCUCUUGAAGAUCGAGAGGGAGACG
rnacentral:lncRNA from 1 species